CCUAAAAUCGAUUCUAAAUUUAUUUAAGAACCAACAUUGAGCAACUUCAUCCCUCGUAUUUCUCCAACCUAAGCUUUUUCGUUUGAUUUCUUCUUUUUCCUCCUCUCAUUUGCUCAAUCUGUCGUUCUUUCUCCUCUCUCCCUCCCUCCCUCCCUCUCUCUUCUCAAAGAUGAAAGUGUAGCUGCAGAAGAUCACAUCCACAACUAUAUAAAAAAAAUGGCAGAAGAUCACGAACUAGAUGAGAGAAAAGCUGGAAUAGUUGUGGUUGUGUUCGAUACUCCGAUUUUAAGCUCAAUUUUGCCUACCACACCCUAAUUUAUGUCAUGAAACUAAAAGACUCUCAGGGUUUCAAGCUCAACAAACUAUUCGUAUAGAUAACGCAAGUGUGAAAAUAGAGAGAAUGGCAGGGAGCAUAAGUUUACAGUUCCGGCUACUCUCCUCUUUUGUGGGCAGCGAUCGUUAAAUCCACCUUUCGCAACACCCUCUUUCGCUCUUGUCUAGGUCCCUCUUUCUCUCUCUCUUACACUUUGUCUUUUGCUUUCAUUGUUUAUUGCUCAACCAAAUUACUGAUUCACCACUUUAAUACUUCUAUUUCAAAUUUAAUUUGAUUUCUUUUACUGUUUGUGCUUAAUUGUUGAUUGGAUUAGUUUAAUAUGUAGUAUUCUCUAUGUAUAUUACAAAAAUAUGAUUUUUAAAUUAAUGUUUGAUUGUAAAUGGAAAAUGAAGCCUAUUAGUUUUAAUUUAAUGGAGUUGUAGAGUGUUACAAUCUGACAUCGUAUUUUGUUAGUUAUGUAUACAAAUAUUGAUGUUGAAUUGGUUAUUAGAUGAAAUGCGAAGCAAGGGAGUUGGAUGUAGAUUGUAGAGUAUAUCUUGAGAUAUGACAAUUUGUGAGUUUGGGUAUAUGGUCUUAGGUUUGAGGAGUUUGAAGAGUAAAUCCCACUGCUUUCACAGCUUUUUCUUGUGGCUCCUUCCUCACCUUAGUCUAUUAAAGAGAACAAAAUCUUGUGGCGAAUGGACAUUAAGAGCUCAACAUCACUCAAAUUGAAAAAUUCAUCAUUAAUAUUUAUAUGAUUCAAGACAAACAAUAGCUUCGGUAGUGUAGUUUGAUCAUAAUUAACCUCAGUACUACAUUGUUCUAAAGCAUUAAUUGAAGGAAAGAGCAUCUUGAUAGCAACUUCCACCCAAUCUUUCAAGCAACCAUAGUAAACAACUACAAAUCCACCUAUUCCUAGUUCUCUUCGGAAGCCUUUUGUAAGGUUUGUUAUCUCUGAAUAAGUAAAUUACUUUAUUCCACCCUUCCUGUAUGUUAGUUAUAGCUAGCUAUUAUCUUCUUGAGCACGGUGUUGUGGCUAACUAAUAAUGAGAGAAAUAUCAAAAUUAGAAUGUAAUAAGUUUCAUACAUUGCUUCUUUCUUCAUGUGGACCAAAAAUGAAAGAAAACCAGUUGUAAGUAAGACAAAGAGAGCGACAUAGGCUGCUAUCGUUGCAAUGAAGGCUUUCGUUUUCUUCUGUGAAGUACAUGAUUUUCUACAAUUGACCUCAAAGUAACAUUGGAAGUUAAGGCAAAGCAAGCUACUGAUUUGUUCAUAGAGAUGUCCCUGUUCCGUCUUCUGUCGAUCCUAUCACUGCAGCAUCGAACAUGCUCAAGGGAUUGACAACAUUAUAUUAAGUCUACAACAGUUUCAAGGUUUUGAUGCUUGCUUGGUGCUUCUGCUGCUCUUGCCUGUUGCUGCUGUUGCUUGUUGCUGAUGUUCCGCAUAUGUGCUCCUAUUGUUUUGCAUAUGUGCUGCUACUAUUUCCUGCUACUGCUAUUCCGCAUAUGUGCUGUUGUUGCUGUUGUUCUGUUUCCGAGCUGUUGUUGUUCUAUCUCCGAGCUGCUGCUGUUCUGUUUCCAAGCUGUUGCUAUUUUGUAUAUUGUAAUUUCUUUUUUUUGGUAUGAAAUUGUAAUAUUACAAGAAUUUAUUAAUAAAAGUAUCUAA